rnacentral:rRNA from 1 species
UCCGUAGGUGGCAAGCGUUGUCCGGAUUUAUUGGGUUUAAAGGGUGCGUAGGCGGCUUUGUAAGUCAGUGGUGAAAUAUGGCAGCUCAACUGUCAGGGUGCCAUUGAUACUGCGGAGCUUGAGUACAGAUGAGGUAGGCGGAAUUGACGGUGUAGCGGUGAAAUGCUUAGAUAUCGUCAAGAACACCGAUAGCGAAGGCAGCUUACUGGGCUGUAACUGACGCUGAGGCACGAAAGUGUGGGGAUCAAACAGG